CGGUACCCUCGUCGAGCCAGUCGAACUCCACCUCGUGGGGCAGGGAACCCGGUGCGAAUCCGGGGCUGACGCGCAGCGGUGAGGGUGACGGGCGGGCACGCCCCGGGGACGCGGUUCCCCGGGACAGCCACUGGAGCGCACGCUCCGGGAAGGCGCUCCGCACCGGUCGAUCCCGAGUCCGAAGACCUGCUGGCGCUGGCGGUGACGG
rnacentral:ncRNA from 2 species